rnacentral:rRNA from 2 species
UGAUCCUGGCUCAGGACGAACGCUGGCGGCGUGCUUAACACAUGCAAGUCGAACGGUAAGGCCUUCGGGUACACGAGUGGCGAACGGGUGAGUAACACGUGGGUGAUCUGCCCUGCACUUUGGGAUAAGCCUGGGAAACUGGGUCUAAUACCGAAUAGGAUCAUGCACCUCAUGGUGUGUGGUGGAAAGCUUUUGCGGUGUGGGAUGGGCCCGCGGCCUAUCAGCUUGUUGGUGGGGUAAUGGCCUACCAAGGCGACGACGGGUAGCCGGCCUGAGAGGGUGUCCGGCCACACUGGGACUGAGAUACGGCCCAGACUCCUACGGGAGGCAGCAGUGGGGAAUAUUGCACAAUGGGCGCAAGCCUGAUGCAGCGACGCCGCGUGAGGGAUGACGGCCUUCGGGUUGUAAACCUCUUUCAGUAGGGACGAAGCGCAAGUGACGGUACCUAUAGAAGAAGCACCGGCCAACUACGUGCCAGCAGCCGCGGUAAUACGUAGGGUGCGAGCGUUGUCCGGAAUUACUGGGCGUAAAGAGCUCGUAGGUGGUUUGUCGCGUUGUUCGUGAAAACUCACAGCUUAACUGUGGGCGUGCGGGCGAUACGGGCAGACUGGAGUACUGCAGGGGAGACUGGAAUUCCUGGUGUAGCGGUGGAAUGCGCAGAUAUCAGGAGGAACACCGGUGGCGAAGGCGGGUCUCUGGGCAGUAACUGACGCUGAGGAGCGAAAGCGUGGGGAGCGAACAGGAUUAGAUACCCUGGUAGUCCACGCCGUAAACGGUGGGUACUAGGUGUGGGUUUCCUUCCUUGGGAUCCGUGCCGUAGCUAACGCAUUAAGUACCCCGCCUGGGGAGUACGGCCGCAAGGCUAAAACUCAAAGGAAUUGACGGGGGCCCGCACAAGCGGCGGAGCAUGUGGAUUAAUUCGAUGCAACGCGAAGAACCUUACCUGGGUUUGACAUGCACAGGACGCCGGCAGAGAUGUCGGUUCCCUUGUGGCCUGUGUGCAGGUGGUGCAUGGCUGUCGUCAGCUCGUGUCGUGAGAUGUUGGGUUAAGUCCCGCAACGAGCGCAACCCUUGUCUCAUGUUGCCAGCACGUUAUGGUGGGGACUCGUGAGAGACUGCCGGGGUCAACUCGGAGGAAGGUGGGGAUGACGUCAAGUCAUCAUGCCCCUUAUGUCCAGGGCUUCACACAUGCUACAAUGGCCGGUACAAAGGGCUGCGAUGCCGUGAGGUGGAGCGAAUCCUUUAAAGCCGGUCUCAGUUCGGAUCGGGGUCUGCAACUCGACCCCGUGAAGUCGGAGUCGCUAGUAAUCGCAGAUCAGCAACGCUGCGGUGAAUACGUUCCCGGGCCUUGUACACACCGCCCGUCACGUCAUGAAAGUCGGUAACACCCGAAGCCGGUGGCCUAACCCCUUGUGGGAGGGAGCCGUCGAAGGUGGGAUCGGCGAUUGGGACGAA